UCCCUAGUUCGGAUUGUAGGCUGAAACUCGCCUACAUGAAGCUGGAAUUGCUAGUAAUCACAGGUCAGCAUACUGUGGUGAAUACGUUCCCGGGCCUUGUACACACCGCCCGUCACACCAUGAGAGUUGAGAAUACCCGAAGCCCAUGUCAAAGUGGUCGAAGGUAGGCUUGAUGAUUGGGGUGAAGUCGUAACAAGGUAAC
rnacentral:rRNA from 1 species